rnacentral:ncRNA from 1 species
UGGCAGAUGGUUCCGUAUGGUGUCCAAUCGACGCGAAGCGUCUGGACUGAAAUGGGAAUGGGGUAGGGUGGACCAAAGGCGGCACCCGAAGCCCCAACCGCCCCCGCGACUGUAAGCGGCGAGCGGCUUUCCAAUGGCCACUGGGGCUCAAGCCCCGGGAAGGCGGAAGGCACGCAGCGACCCGCAAGUCAGGAGACCGGCCAUGCGGAAUGAAACGACA